ensembl:lncRNA
GACUGAUCUGGCAGGAGUGAUCGGGACUUUCAAGUGGAUGCCGAAGUGUUUCAAUAUCCUUCUAUUGUCAUGAGCCUGCGUCACAACCCUUGCCCAAGGAUGGAGAUGGGAUCGAGUUGGAGCUGGCUAUUAAACCGCAGGCUUGAUGAGAGGAUGAUGGAAUUGUCCUGCAGCAAAAUGGGGAAAUGCUCAAGAACUCCACUUCCCACUCUCAGGUACUACGGGAAAUCUGCCCGUAGAAGCUGCUGAAGUACUCCACUGAUUUCUGAUCUUUAGAGACUCAACAUGUCGCACUGUUGGUAAUGUAAUGUAUCUUUAAUUUUUUGUCUCACGCUCCCUCUCUCUUUCCUUCUAUUAUGUGUCUUCCUAUGCAACUGUUUUCUGUUUGUCAACACAAAAGUGAAAAAAAAACAGCUGCUUCGUGUGAGAUCUGAUCAGGCCUCAGUAAAUCGUGAGCAAGAGGGCAUGACAGAUAGUGAAAGAGAGAAACCGCUUAUGAAAACCAGCCUUGUGUGAACAGCAUCCAGAUCCAUCCUGGUAAUUUGACUAAUAAGCAGGACAAACAGAGAAUUUGUUUUACUCACCUGAGAUGUUGGCGGUGUGACAUGGUGCUUUGAGAGAUGAGAAUGACCGUCUCUCGUCUUCUCCACUCUCUCUAAAUAAGGCCCUGACUCCACACUCUUUUCCCCAUCUGCUAAAGCUAUUUCCCCCAGCAAGGCAUCUGAUUUCCUCUCCUUCUUUUACCCAUGAGCAUAGAAAGGCCCUGCUCUGUGUGCCGUUGCACUGCAUCUAUCUCUAUGGGUGAAACCUUCGGGACGUCUUGAAUGGCGAUGCUGUUACUUCAGCAGAAGUAGUUCGGGCCGCGAUGAGCGCUGUUACUCUGAUUAAAGCAAUGAUAUACACUACCAUGACCGCAAAUUACCGCUAAUGUAUAUUCCAUAAAGAAUCUUUUAUUCAUUUUAGUGGUUGUUGUUGAAUUUAUAUGGGCUAUAUUAUUGGAUAUAUACUGCAUACUGUACGUGUGUGCAUGUGAGUAUACACUGCACGUAAAACAUUAUGAUUUUUGAACCUUUAUAUAUAUUUUGAACUAAAUUUAGCUAAUCAUUCUGAUUAUUAAGCAUGUUGCUGCAGUUUUUAUGACUUCAGUAAUUGAGAGAUUAUAUGUAAGAUUUAAUUAUAUUGUAUUAGAAUAAUUAUAUAUACAUGCUAUAAUAAUUUAAAUAUAUAUGUAAAAUAAUACUACUGUUGUUUUUAUAAUACAGUUAUAUUAUUAUAUUAUGCAAUUGGUGCUGAAACUAUGAAACUUUCACUCAAAAAUUGCUAAUAAAUUUCACUAACAAUUAAAAAGAAAUGUCA